rnacentral:tRNA from 1 species
GGGCCCGUAGUUCAGUGGUAAAACGACCGGUUUGCAUCCGGUAGGCCGGAGUUCGAUUCUCCGCGGGUCCA